AGAGUUUGAUCAUGGCUCAGAUUGAACGCUGGCGGCAGGCUUAACACAUGCAAGUCGAGCGGAGAUGAGGUGCUUGCACCUUAUCUUAGCGGCGGACGGGUGAGUAAUGCUUAGGAAUCUGCCUAUUAGUGGGGGACAACAUUCCGAAAGGAAUGCUAAUACCGCAUACGCCCUACGGGGGAAAGCAGGGGAUCUUCGGACCUUGCGCUAAUAGAUGAGCCUAAGUCGGAUUAGCUAGUUGGUGGGGUAAAGGCCUACCAAGGCGACGAUCUGUAGCGGGUCUGAGAGGAUGAUCCGCCACACUGGGACUGAGACACGGCCCAGACUCCUACGGGAGGCAGCAGUGGGGAAUAUUGGACAAUGGGCGCAAGCCUGAUCCAGCCAUGCCGCGUGUGUGAAGAAGGCCUUCGGGUUGUAAAGCACUUUAAGCGAGGAGGAAAGUUUAUAGGUUAAUACCCUAUAGAAUUGACGUUACUCGCAGAAUAAGCACCGGCUAACUCUGUGCCAGCAGCCGCGGUAAUACAGAGGGUGCGAGCGUUAAUCGGAUUUACUGGGCGUAAAGCGUGCGUAGGCGGCUUAUUAAGUCGGAUGUGAAAUCCCUGAGCUUAACUUAGGAAUUGCAUUCGAUACUGGCCAGCUAGAGUAUGGGAGAGGAUGGUAGAAUUCCAGGUGUAGCGGUGAAAUGCGUAGAGAUCUGGAGGAAUACCGAUGGCGAAGGCAGCCUUCUGGCCUAACACUGACGCUGAGGUGCGAAAGCAUGGGGAGCAAACAGGAUUAGAUACCCUGGUAGUCCAUGCCGUAAACGAUGUCAACUAGCCGUUGGGGUCCUUGAGGGCUUAGUGGCGCAGCUAACGCGAUAAGUUGACCGCCUGGGGAGUACGGUCGCAAGACUAAAACUCAAAUGAAUUGACGGGGGCCCGCACAAGCGGUGGAGCAUGUGGUUUAAUUCGAUGCAAC
rnacentral:rRNA from 1 species